rnacentral:rRNA from 1 species
CACGUAGGGCGCGAGCGUUGUCCGGAAUUAUUGGGCGUAAAGAGCUCGUAGGCGGCUUGUCGCGUCGACCGUGAAAACUUGGGGCUCAACCCCAAGCCUGCGGUCGAUACGGGCAGGCUCGAGUUCGGUAGGGGAGACUGGAAUUCCUGGUGUAGCGGUGAAAUGCGCAGAUAUCAGGAGGAACACCGAUGGCGAAGGCAGGUCUCUGGGCCGAUACUGACGCUGAGGAGCGAAAGCGUGGGGAGCGAACAGG